GACGAACGCUGGCGGCGUGCUUAACACAUGCAAGUCGAACGGAAAGGCCCUGCUUUUGUGGGGUGCUCGAGUGGCGAACGGGUGAGUAACACGUGAGUAACCUGCCCUUGACUUUGGGAUAACUUCAGGAAACUGGGGCUAAUACCGGAUAGGAGCUCCUGCUGCAUGGUGGGGGUUGGAAAGUUUCGGCGGUUGGGGAUGGACUCGCGGCUUAUCAGCUUGUUGGUGGGGUAGUGGCUUACCAAGGCUUUGACGGGUAGCCGGCCUGAGAGGGUGACCGGCGACAUUGGGACUGAGAUACGGAGCAGACUCCUACGGGAGGCAGCAGUGGGAAAUAUGGCACAAUGGGCGGAAGCCUGAGGCAGAAACGCCGCGUGCGGGAUGACGGCCUUCGGGUUGUAAACCGCUUUCGCCUGUGACGAAGCGUGAGUGACGGUAAUGGGUAAAGAAGCACCGGCUAACUACGUG
rnacentral:rRNA from 1 species